rnacentral:rRNA from 1 species
CAUGCAAGUCGAACGAGAAUCUGUGGAAAGAGGAUUCGUCCAAUUGAAGCAGAGGACAGUGGCGGACGGGUGAGUAACGCGUGAGGAACCUGCCUUUCAGAGGGGGACAACAGUUGGAAACGACUGCUAAUACCGCAUAACAUAUAGAUGUCGCAUGGCAUUUAUAUCAAAGAUUUAUCGCUGAAAGAUGGCCUCGCGUCUGAUUAGCUAGUUGGUGAGGUAACGGCCCACCAAGGCGACGAUCAGUAGCCGGACUGAGAGGUUGAACGGCCACAUUGGGACUGAGAUACGGUCCAGACUCCUACGGGAGGCAGCAGUGGGGAAUAUUGGGCAAUGGGCGCAAGCCUGACCCAGCAACGCCGCGUGAAGGAAGAAGGCUUUCGGGUUGUAAACUUCUUUUACCAGGGACGAAGGACGUGACGGUACCUGGAGAAAAAGCCACGGCUAACUA